rnacentral:rRNA from 1 species
ACAGUGGACGCGAGCAUCUUUGUUGUAAGUGUUUAAGAGCGUACGGUGGAUGCCUUGGCACCAGGAGCCGAUGAAGGACGUAGGAGGCUGCGAUAAGCCUCGGGGAGCUGUCAACCGAGCUGAGAUCCGAGGAUGUCCGAAUGGGGAAACCCAGCCACAGUGAUGUGUGGUUACCCGCGCCUGAAUAUAUAGGGCGUGUGGAGGGAACGUGGGGAAGUGAAACAUCUGUACCCACAGGAGGAGAGAAAACAACAUGUGAUUCCGUGAGUAGUGGCGAGCGAAAGCGGAAGAGGCUAAACCAUGGGUGUGUGAUAGCCGGCGGGCGUUGCAUUCGUGGGGUUGUGGGAUCCGUCUUGUCAAUUCUGCCGGAUUGGCCGACAGUGAGAAAUCAUCGUGUUAGUCGAAGUGGUCUGGAACGGCCUGUCGUAGAGGGUGAGAGUCCCGUAGACGAAACAUGGUGACUGUCGUGACGGACACCCGAGUAGCAGCGGGCCCGUGAAAUCUGCUGUGAAUCUGUCGGGACCACCCGAUAAGCCUGAAUACUCCCUGGUGACCGAUAGCGGACUAGUACCGUGAGGGAAAGGUGAAAAGUACCCCGGGAGGGGAGUGAAAUAGUACCUGAAACCGUGCGCUUACAAUCCGUCAGAGCCUGCGCCACUUUUGGGGGUGGGUGAUGGCGUGCCUUUUGAAGAAUGAGCCUGCGAGUUAGCGGCAUGUCGCGAGGUUAACCCGUGUGGGGUAGCCGUAGCGAAAGCGAGUCCGAAUAGGGCGUUUGUAGUGGCAUGUUCUAGACCCGAAGCGGAGUGAUCUACCCAUGGCCAGGGUGAAGCGACGGUAAGACGUCGUGGAGGCCCGAACCCACUUAGGUUGAAAAUGAGGGGAUGAGCUGUGGGUAGGGGUGAAAGGCCAAUCAAACUCCGUGAUAGCUGGUUCUCCCCGAAAUGCAUUUAGGUGCAGCGUCGCGUGUUUCACUCUGGAGGUAGAGCUACUGGAUGGCCGAUGGGCCCCACAAGGUUACUGACGUCAGCCAAACUCCGAAUGCCAGAGUGUGAGAGCGCGGCAGUGAGACUGCGGGGGAUAAGCUUCGUAGUCGAGAGGGAAACAGCCCAGAUCGCCGGCUAAGGCCCCUAAGCGUGUACUAAGUGGAAAGGAUGUGGGGUCGCGAAGACAACCAGGAGGUUGGCUUAGAAGCAGCCACCCUUGAAAGAGUGCGUAAUAGCUCACUGGUCAAGUGAUCCUGCGCCGACAAUGUAGCGGGGCUCAAGUACACCGCCGAAGCCGCGGCAUUCACAUAACACCCAUGCGGGUCUACGGGCCUGUGUGCAGUGGUGUGGAUGGGUAGGGGAGCGUCGUGCAGCCAUGGAAGCGCCGGAGUGAUCCAGGUGUGGAGGCUGCACGAGUGAGAAUGCAGGCAUGAGUAGCGAAAGACGAGUGAGAAACUCGUCCGCCGAAUGACCAAGGGUUCCUGGGCCAGGUUAAUCCGCCCAGGGUGAGUCGGGACCUAAGGCGAGGCCGACAGGCGUAGUCGAUGGACAACGGGUUGAUAUUCCCGUACCCGUGUGAACGCGCCCCUGGUGAAUCAGUGAUGCUAAGCGCCCUGAAGCCGCCUUCGAACCUUCGGGUUCUCCGGUGUGUGGAUGCGCGUGAACCGAUCUGGUAGUAGCCAAGCGAUGGGGUGACGCAGGAAGGUAGCUGAGCCAGUCAGUGGUAAUACUGGUGUAAGCGUGUAGGGCGUGACCUAGGCAAAUCCGGGUCACACACAGCCUGAGACGUGAUGCGUAGCGAUUGAGGCGAAUUCAGUGAUCCUAUGCUGCCGAGAAAAGCCUCUAGCGAGCUUUCACACGCCCGUACCCCAAACCGACACAGGUGGUCAGGUAGAGAAUACUAGGCGAUCGAGAUAACUGUGGUUAAGGAACUCGGCAAAAUGCCCCGUAACUUCGGGAGAAGGGGGGCCUCGUCUGGUGACGGAACUUGCUUCCUGAGCUGGGUGGGGCCGCAGAGACCAGAGAGAAGCGACUGUUUACUAAAAACACAGGUCCGUGCGAAGUCGUAAGACGAUGUAUACGGACUGACGCCUGCCCGGUGCUGGAAGGUUAAGAGGACCGUUAGCCAGUAAUGGCGAAGCUGAGAAUUUAAGCCCCAGUAAACGGCGUGGUAACAUAACCAUCCUAAGGUAGCGAAUUCCUUGUCGGGUAAGUUCCGACCUGCACGAAUGGCGUAACGACUUCUCUGCUGUCU